rnacentral:lncRNA from 1 species
UUGAACCACUUUCACCAACUCUCCAUGUGUCCAUUGAUUAUUUUGUCCAACACUUUGUUUAUUAAUCUUGCAAGCAACCACUUGGAUAUUGCUAAGGGGAAAGAAAGAGAGAAUUAGUGGGAGAGUAAGGCCAUAUGGCCGGACCAUGCUCUAGAUGAAAAGGAGAUUGGGAGAUAACAAAAUAUAUCUAUAGAUUUUCCAACACUUAGAUCAUAUUUUUCCCUUUCAUCACUUUUAUUAUUCUUGCUAGAACACAAGAAAAAGAGAGAGGGAGAGAGAAGAGGAGGCCAUGUUCGGCCAUCCUAAGAGGAGAAGGAGGAGAUUUUGAUGUUCAUACAAUCAAGAUCCAUCCAUGGAAGGAAGAAAGAAGGAGAAGAAAUCAAGCAAAGGUAUAAAUCCUUUUUGUUUAGUUAAUUUUUGAUGGUUGUAAAUCAAACCUUGAAUCCAUAGUUCUCAACUCAAAAACUAUGUAUAUACAUGUUGAGGAGUGUAUCAUGUUUAGAUCUAACAAUAUUGGGUGUUGAUUUUGGUUGGAAUCAAAUGUAUAAAAUUUCCUAAACUCAAAACUCUAAUUAGUUUAUGUGUUUUGUGAUGGUUGUUUUAGACCAAGUGUUGAACUUAUGAUCCAUAUGAGGGAAGAUCUACAUGAUAUAUGAUAUUUUAUGGUUAGAUCUUGCCAUUUUUAGGGUUGAUAGGCUUGAACAAAGAAGAUGAACCAAAACAGUUUUUUUGUUUUAAAUGAAUUAGUGGACUGCUGCCCUAAACAGAACAUUUCGGAUUUGUUAGGGUGCUCAAAAAAUUCUGGACUUGUGAUAUGUUAUAGUACACUCAAUAAGCUUUCCAUAGACUCCGAAACGGACUAAAUCCGAUAUCGGAGGAGCAAGUUAUGGGAUUUUUACCAAACUACACAAAGUUAAGAAAAACUGUUAAAAGGACAGAUUUGAACAGUCACUUCCGGGCUAAAUUCUGGGAGCUUAACAUGUCCAAAUAUGGAUUGUGAUAGAUGAAAAUUGUAAUUCGGAAAGAUACAAAUCCAACAAAAUUGACGGAUCAUUAAUCGGAGUUACAGAUUUCGCUUUAUAUAAGUUUUAGCAAAGGACUCCAAAACUGCCAAAGUGCAAAAAGUUUCUGGCCAAAUUUUUCCGAGGGCUGUUUUGGACAUUUAGUUAAUGAGAAAAAUUACAGGCUUUUGGGAAAUGAAAAUAUAUGGUAAUAUGUAGCUCGUGUCCAAAAAUGAGCUAAUUUCAGCUUAAAACGACCAAGUUAUGACCAUUUCAAUUUUUGUGAUUUUCCGACGGAAAUCGCUAUAACCGGAGUUCUACAACUCCGAUUGCCGCGAAAUUUAACAUGGAACAUCACGUUAACAUAUAUAAGGUUAUGUCAAAAGAUGGGCAUCUCUGGAGUUAAGCACGAGGUAGCUAAUUUUCUUAAGUCACGCACUAAUUAUGAUUUUUGAAAAAUAGUAAAAGAAAUUGAAAAAUUACGGAAAAAUAUUUUUUAUGUAUGAAAUACAUGUAUAUAUGUUUGACCAAAGGAUAAAAAAAUAAUAAGUUGAUUUGGUAUUUUUCGUGAAAAAGAAUAGUGAUUUCGGGAUACUGAAAUAAAAUCCGUCUUACUGAAAUGGUAUUUCGGUUUACUAAGAUGUUAUCUAAUUUACUAGGAUAACAUAUAAAAAUGAAUAACUUAUAAGUAUAAGUUAUGAUGUGAUUAAAAGAAUAUCAAAGUAUAAUAAGAAUAUUAAGACUUAAACCUAUUGUCUAAUACUUAACUAUAUGUUAUGACUAACCGAAAGAUCUAUUAUAGGUUUUAUAUGCUGUAUAGACUGAUAGGAUUAUGUGUUUAAGUUAUUUUAUAACGGUGAUGAUAUUAUUCUAAUAUUGGAGAUCUAUAUUAUUAAUAUUAGGUCUUUAGGAGAAGCGUAUUAUAUUGCGUUACGGUAAUCAACGGUUCAGGCAAGUUUUUUUUCAAGUUCUUUUUACUUAAACUCUUUUAAGAGUAGUUUCAGACAGAUAUGCUUAUGAAUUAUACUCUGUACAUCUUGCAUGUAUAAGUCAGGUAUGAAAGGCUGAUCACCUUCAUUACCAGUCAGUUCAGAUAUAAUUGUUAUGUUCAUUUUCAAUGUUCAUUCAGCUUUGAAAUUUUGUUCAUGCUAAUUCACAACUACAUUGUGAAGGAUAGCCAGCUUAUUAUUCAAACUCUUUCAAUCAUGAUAUAUCUUUACCUUGUUUUUUUUAAACUUGCUGGGCAACUUUCAUGCUCACCCUUGCUAUAUCAUGAUAAAACAUUGCAGAUAAGGCGAAUACGGCCAGAUACAGGAAAAGGAUAAUGACAAGUUCAGCUUGGGAUAGAAUGUGAAGUUAAGUUGUAAAGUAUGUUGAAGAAUAGUAUUGUCAUGUGUUAGACAGUCAUGAUUGUGUAUACGUUAAGGUUACUCGAUUUUGGAAAUAGUGUGUAAAGUUUAAUGUAUAAACAAUUUAUGUUUAUAUCUUCCGCAAACAGUUGUAGAAUGAUUGUACCGAAUCCGCGGCGAUUUGGAACCUGGAUUUGGGGCCGUUACAGGUCCAAUCCACCCAACCCAUUCUGAGUCGCCAAAUACAUGGUACAGAAAAUAACUACAACUUCAUUAUCACAAUUUUCAUGCAAAAUACAAC